AUGAUUGCUCUUUUGCAUCUUAACAUCUUAGGGAGGUUGAGGAAUUUUGGACAACUUGGUUUGGCAUUCUAUUGUUACGGGGAUUUGAUUUCUCUUAGUAAGGCACAAGAUGUAAUAAAUUGGCCGAAUAGCUCCUUUGGUAUUAGGUGGAAGCUCAAACUGUCAUGUUUCAUAUUGGGUACAAGUACUUGCAAAUUGGCUGGAAGUUUGUGUCCAUUAACAUCAUGUCUUCAGAGUGAGUGUUAUAGGGGAGACGGAGACAACCUAUGA